rnacentral:rRNA from 1 species
AUGCUUGCGUAAAGGACUAAGCCAUGCAGGUGUAAGUCUAAGAGGCGCCUCGUGCACACCCUCAAAACUGCGGAUGGCUCAUUACAUCAGUGGCAAUCUACACAGCUAGAUGGAGGCCGUGCCCGUUGCCCUUCGGGGUGGCGAUCAGCACGGUCUCCAACCGAUAGAUGGAUAACUGUGGUAACUCCAUAGCUAAUACAUGACGCGAAGUCCCGUGCCAGAGGGACGCAUUUACCAGUCAUUUCAAGGAUCCGCUACGGCCCCUAACACGGGCCUAGUGUGUUUCGAGCCGGGCGGCGGGCUGUUCGAGCUUCUGCCCCAUCAGCUAGACGGUAGUUUACAGGACUACCGUGGCUGCCACGGGUAACGGGGAAUUAGGGUUCGAUUCCGGAGAGGGAGCCUGAGAGAUGGCUACCACUUCCAAGGAAGGCAGCAGGCGCGCAAAUUACCCAAUUCCAACUCGGAGAGGUAGUGACAACGCGUAUCGGCACAGUGCAUUCUAUGUACUGCGACCGGAAUGGACCAAAUUCAAACCCAUUGGUGAGUAACGAUUGGAGGAAAAGUCUGGUGCCAGCACCCGCGGUAAUUCCAGCUCCAAUAGUGUAUAUUAAAGUUGUUGCAGUUAAAAAGCUCGUAGUCAGGUUUCAGGGAGGCGCGUGACGCGUGCCGCACAACCCGAGCUCCGCUCGGGGCGGUGCGUGACACCCCGCCACCCAGGUAUCGUCCUCCUCUUGCCAUGAGGGUCCCACUUGUCGGUUGAGCAUUUCACGGGGAUUAGUGGCGGCUUCGGUCGCAACUGUCUCCGGGGGCCCAACCCGGGUGGUGAUCGGUGAGGGGAUCAAGGGCGGUGCCUAAUUCCUCCAAGAUGCGCUUCGUGGGCUUGCUCACGGGGUGCCUCCCUUGGGGGAACUGUCACUGUGAGAAAAUCAGGGUGUUCAAAGCAGACGGCUAGUUCUGUCUGAACGGUAAAGCAUGGGAUGACAUCGUAAGACCUCCAGCUCUUGCGUGGGCUGAUGGCGUCGGCCUUGUGUCGGCGUCUAGGCUCACGCGCUUUUUCCCACGGGGCACGGUUUACAUGGGCUUUCCUUACGGGGAGAGCUGGAGGGCGCGACCAAUAGGGAUGGUUGGGGCCAUUCAUAUUCCCACGUUAGAGGUGAAAUUCUUGGAUCGUGGGAGGAUGAACUUCUGCGAAAGCAUUUGGCACGGACGUUCCCAUUGAUCAAGAACGAAAGUCAGGGGAUCGAAGACGAUCAGAUACCGUCGUAGUCCUGACCAUAAACGAUGCCGACCAGGGAUCGGGCGAUGUUAUCAUUUUGACUCGCUCGGCACCUUACGAGAAAUCAAAGUCUUUGGGUUCUGGGGGGAGUAUGGUCGCAAGGCUGAAACUUAAAGAAAUUGACGGAAGGGCA